rnacentral:rRNA from 1 species
GACGAACGCUGGCGGCGUGCUUAACACAUGCAAGUCGAACGCUGAAGCCCAGCUUGCUGGGUGGAUGAGUGGCGAACGGGUGAGUAACACGUGAGUAACCUGCCCCCUUCUUUGGGAUAACGCCCGGAAACGGGUGCUAAUACUGGAUAUUCACUGGCCUUCGCAUGGGGGUUGGUGGAAAGGUUUUUUCUGGUGGGGGAUGGGCUCGCGGCCUAUCAGCUUGUUGGUGGGGUGAUGGCCUACCAAGGCUUUGACGGGUAGCCGGCCUGAGAGGGUGACCGGUCACAUUGGGACUGAGAUACGGCCCAGACUCCUACGGGAGGCAGCAGUGGGGAAUAUUGCACAAUGGGCGAAAGCCUGAUGCAGCGACGCCGCGUGAGGGAUGACGGCCUUCGGGUUGUAAACCUCUUUCGCUCAUGGUCAAGCCGCAGCUUUGGGUUGUGGUGAGGGUA